rnacentral:rRNA from 1 species
GACAGAGGAUGCAAGCGUUAUCCGGAAUGAUUGGGCGUAAAGCGUCUGUAGGUGGCUUUUUAAGUCCGCCGUCAAAUCCCAGGGCUCAACCCUGGACAGGCGGUGGAAACUACCAAGCUGGAGUACGGCAGGGGCUGGUGGAAUGCCCGGUGUAGUGGUGAAAUGCGUAGAGAUCGGGCAGAACACCCGUGGCGAAGGCGGCCAGCUGGGCCGGGCCUGACGCUGAGGCGCGAAGGCGUGGGGAGCGAACGGG